rnacentral:rRNA from 1 species
GAUAAACGCUGGCGGCGUGCCUAACACAUGCAAGUCGAACGAAGAGGCCCCUUCGGGGGUACUUCAGUGGCGGACGGGUGAGUAACACGUAGGUGGCCUACCCCAAAGCGGGGAAUAACAGUCCGAAAGGAUUGCUAAUACCCCAUGUGGUCAAUGAGUCUAGAUGCUUGGUGACUAAAGGAGCAAUCCGUUUUGGGAGGGGCCUGCGCCCCAUCAGCUAGUUGGUAGGGUAAUGGCCUACCAAGGCUACAACGGGUAGGGGGCCUGAGAGGGUGACCCCCCACAUUGGCACUGACACACGGGCCAAACUCCUACGGGAGGCAGCAGUGAGGAAUAUUGCUCAAUGGGCGAAAGCCUGAAGCAGCAACGCCGCGUGCGCGAUGAAGGUCUUCGGAUCGUAAAGCGCUUUUGAGAGGGACGAGAUAGGACGGUACCUCUUGAGUAAGUCACGGCUAACUACGUGCCAGCCGCCGCAGUAAGAC